AGAUCAGGCCACCACGAGACAGAGAUGGAGACCAGCAGCCUGUGGCCCCCGAGGCCCAGCCCCAGUGCAGGGCUGAGCCUGGAGGCGCGGCUGGGCGUGGACACUCGCCUCUGGGCCAAGGUGCUGUUCACCGCGCUCUAUUCGCUCAUCUUCGCGCUUGGCACAGCCGGCAAUGCGCUGUCCGUGCACGUGGUGCUGAAGGCGCGGGCGGGUCGCCCCGGGCGCCUGCGCUACCACGUGCUCAGCCUGGCACUGUCAGCCCUGCUGCUACUGCUGAUCAGCGUGCCCAUGGAGCUCUACAACUUCGUGUGGUCCCACUACCCCUGGGUCUUCGGCGAUCUCGGCUGUCGUGGCUAUUACUUCGUGCGUGAGCUGUGCGCCUACGCCACGGUGCUGAGCGUGGCCAGCCUGAGCGCAGAGCGCUGCCUGGCCGUGUGCCAGCCGCUGCGCGCCCGCCGCCUGCUCACCCCGCGCCGCACCCGCCGCCUGCUGUCACUAGUCUGGGUCGCCUCUCUGGGCCUUGCCCUGCCCAUGGCGGUUAUCAUGGGACAGAAGCACGAAAUGGAGAGGGCCGACGGGGAGCCUGAGCCUGCCUCGCGUGUGUGCACGGUGCUAGUAAGUCGCGCCACGCUCCAGGUCUUCAUCCAGGUGAACGUGCUGGUCUCCUUCGUUCUCCCCUUGGCACUCACUGCUUUUCUGAAUGGGAUCACUGUCAACCACCUGGUGGCCCUCUACUCCCAGGUACCAUCAGCUUCUGCCCAAGUCAACUCCAUCCCCAGCCGCCUGGAGCUCCUGAGUGAGGAAGGCCUCCUGGGCUUCAUCACAUGGAGAAAGACCCUCUCCCUGGGGGUCCAAGCCAGCCUGGUGAGACACAAGGAUGCCAGCCAGAUCCGCAGCCUCCAGCACAGCGCCCAGGUUCUCAGUUAAGUCCUCUACCACAAUACCCUGAGGGAGAGGAGCCCAGGACCAGGGAUUGUGUCCAUCAGUUCCUGGCUAGAUGACCUUGGCAAGCUACUGCCCCUCUCUAGGCCCCCUUCUUCCUGUACCUCAAAAGCACAACGGGAUAGUUAAAAGAAAGAACUGGAAUUUUAUGCAUGAAAUUACAGGUCCACACAGGGAGUGGCAUACCCACACAGGAGGGUCUUGGCUCUGUUUCAGAAAGUUGGGCUGUGUGGGAAAGCCAAAAGUAGUUCCAGUGAAGGACUGCAGUCUGCCUAUUGUGGAUUCUCAGACUGGCUGGGUCCCCAUAUCCCAUUUUCCUCUAGCACUCCCCUCUCCUGCUCACAGCAUUCAUCUGUUUGCUUGCUUGCCUUUGUAAGGAUCCAGAACAAUCUGGCCUUGUAAGAAACACUUUUUAAAGGGACAGGAAAACCGGUCUCUCCAAGUGCCCAUCUGCCCUAGUUGAAAUCUGGGCACCAGCUGAAGUCUGGGAGGAUCCAAUGAGGCAGAUCUGUGUUCUUUGAUCCAAUGAGGCAGAUCUGUGAUCUUUGAUCCAAUGAGGCAGAUCUGUGAUCUUUGCAGCAUCCCCAUCUUGUGGGAAAAGAUGUAAGUGCUGAGUGCACUGGAUGUGAUGAGUCACACAUAGUCAGCCCAGGAAGGUGUCAGGCUUCACUUUGUAGUCGCUGAGCAGAACGGUCCAAGAACCAAUGUCUGGAAGAUCUGUUGUCUUCAUAGCUCUUUGGCAUACAGGCCAAAUCGUACUCCUAAACUUCAAGGUCUGUGGCAGUGAUCCAGGACAUUGUAAGGGCCAGAGUGCAGGGCCCAGCCAUGAGAUUCCAACCCAAGAGGCCUUGAGUGGGUUGAUGAAUUUGAAUUCCUACCAGAAUACCAGUUAAUGCUACUGCUGCAGGGAUCACAAAGGGUAAUAGGUGGGUGGUUGCUCAUGUGGGAGAGAGAAGGCUGUCAGAGUCCAGAGGGAAGGAGACAGAAGCUUCAUAAGGUAGCAGCCGUGAGGACAAGGAAGAAACAGAGUGACAGUCACUGAGGAAGAACCCAUUAAAAGACAAGAUGUGGAAGGAGAGAAAGCUAAGAAGACUCUAGCUUGAGGUCUGAUGAUGGAACUACCAUGCAUGCAGAAGGAAAAGGAAGAGUUGAGGCAGAGCCUUUGCAAUGAAUGCACAAAAGGCAUUUAUAUAAUGCUGCAUAUGCAGUCAUCCAGGUAGGAAUAUCUAGUCCUAAGUUGAGAGUUCAUUCCAGUAGCCAGUGGAAGAUUCUGGAAGCCUGUUGUGUCCAAGGACAUGGAAGGUUCGUAUUCAAUAACUUUAAAAUUCUCUUCCCAUCCUUUGGCUCCAGGAAGAUGCCACAGGAAUUGCUGUUGUCACCUUGGGCAUGCUUUUCCCUCAACAAUGAUGUAACUGAGAACAUGUUUGCUUUCUGUCUGCUAUGCCCUCUCUCUCUCUCUCCCACUCUCCUUCAGGAGCCAUCGUGGCUGUGUAUGUCAUCUGCUGGCUGCCGUACCAUGCCCGCAGGCUCAUGUACUGCUACAUCCCCGAUGAUGGAUGGACUGAUGAGCUCUAUGACUUCUAUCACUAUUUCUACAUGGUGACCAACACGCUCUUCUAUGUCAGCUCGGCAGUGACCCCAGUCCUCUACAACGCCGUGUCUUCCUCCUUCAGAAAGCUCUUUCUGGAAUCUCUCAGUUCCCUGUGUGGUGAACAGCGCUCCGUGGUGCCCUUACCCCAAGAAGCCCCAGAGUCAACUACUAGUACGUACAGUUUCCGGCUUUGGGGAUCCCCAAGAAACCCCAGCCUGGGUGAAAUACAAGUGUGAAGAGAACAAACAAUGGCUGCUUGGGACACACCCAUCAGAUAAGCCAUGCCAUUACUAACAGUCUAAGCGGACCUACUGACCCAGCGCAGUCAUUGACCAGUGCAUACUGCAGGCAAGCCACGUAACACCUCCUGCCCUCAACUUCCCACCUGUGCAACCAAGGUGUAGAAUAGGACGAAUUGCCUAGUGAUGAAGGUGCCCAGUGCCAGGCCUGGUACAGAACCAGUACUCAAUAAAUUUUAGCUGGUGCUA